rnacentral:rRNA from 1 species
GAUGAACGCUAGCGGCAGGCCUAAUACAUGCAAGUCGAACGGGUUGUUGCAGCAAUGCAACGAUCAGUGGCGCACGGGUGCGUAACGCGUAUGCAACCUGCCUUAAACUGGGGGAUAGCCUUCCGAAAGGGAGAUUAAUACCGCAUAAGAUCACACGAGGGCAUCUGAGAGUGAUUAAAGAUUUAUUGGUUUAAGAUGGGCAUGCGUGCCAUUAGCUAGUUGGUAGGGUAAUGGCCUACCAAGGCUACGAUGGCUAGGGGUUCUGAGAGGAUGAUCCCCCACACUGGUACUGAGAUACGGACCAGACUCCUACGGGAGGCAGCAGUAGGGAAUAUUGGGCAAUGGACGGAAGUCUGACCCAGCCAUGCCGCGUGCAGGAUGAAGGCCUUCUGGGUUGUAAACUGCUUUUAUCUAGGAAGAAAACGCCCAUGCGUGGGAAACUGACGGUACUAGAUGAAUAAGCACCGGCUAACUCCGUGC